rnacentral:rRNA from 1 species
UACGGGGGGAGCAAGCGUUGUUCGGAUUUACUGGGCAUAAAGGGUGCGUAGGCGGUUUGUUUAAGGUUACAUUGGUGAAAGUUUUCGGGCCCAACCGGAAAAUGGCCUGUGAAUACGUGGCCGAACUUGAGUGCGUGAGGGGUGGGGGGGAACGGAGCAGUGUAGCGGUGAAAUGCGUAGAUAUUGCUCGGAAGGCCGGAGCCGAAGGGCCCCACUGGUGCGCAACUGACGCUGAGGCACGAAAGCGUGGGGAGCAAACAGG